ACCCUUACUUUUUCUACUGCUACUUGCCAUUGAUAAUGGUGGAAGAGAAAUUUAAAAGGAAGCGAGAAAGUGAAAGGAAGGAGGAAGACCUAACCUCAAAGCUAAAAAAGCCUGAGGAACCAUGAAGACACGAGGAAGAAAAAGAUGGCUCUGGAACUUUCGACUUCCACUGGAACUCAACGAUACUCUUGACACCCACAAAGAUCGCUCGGGCUCUCAAAAUUACGAUAGAAGGUCCAAAUGAGGGAAGAAAGUGACCUUAUAUAUAUAAGACCCAUCAAUGGUCGAGAUAGGCUCAUUUGAAUUGAGAUUGUCCCAG
rnacentral:lncRNA from 1 species